GGGUUUUGAUCUGAUUUAUUCUGUUUACUCUGCAACACACUAGGAAGUUUGGGAGUGAUGCAUUAACAGAGUGGUGUCACACGUCAGCAAGAUCAGAGAAGUCGAUUCACCAUGCCAUCUCAUCCUGUGGGAACAUUCCAUGGUUGGGAAAAACCAACCGUCUCUCUCUCUCUCCUCUGCCUAUAUCUACACUCCUGUCCUGAGAGGACCUCAGACUGUGCUGGACAUCCUCAGAAGCCUUGCAGAGACCUAACCAUACCACAGCACCUUCCAAUAACCGUGUGAAGACCAUAAUACAACUCCGAGAUAACUUCUGUUUUAGACUACAGAAGGCAAGAUAACAAGCUAUCAAGGCUGAGAGAUGCGACUCCUGCUCUGUGGUCUCUUCGCCGUCCUUCUCACAGCGUCCUUGUGCAGCCCUGAUUUUGAAGGGUCUGGGGACCAGAGUGGCUCAUUGCCUGAUGAGUGGCAACCCUCUGAAGUAGUCUCCAGUCACAUCUAUGGAAGGUCAAGGUACUGGAAAUCUUCGGAAUCUUCGGAAUCAUCCGAAUCAUCCGAAUCAUCCGAAUCAUCCGAAUCAUCCGAAUCUUCGGAAUCCUCAGAAUCCUCAGAAUCCUCAGAAUCUUCAGAAUCUUCAGAAUCCUCAGAAUCCUCAGAGAUCACGGCAAAACCACUGACACCUAAACCCACAGUUCCAGUGACCCGUCCCACUGCUAACACAACUACCACUACAACAAGAACCAGGCCAGUCACAAAUUCAACAACGUCACCGACCCCCACAAUAACGUCACCUAAUUCCACAACAAUGCAAACCAAACCCACAGUUCCAGUGACCCAUCCCACUGCUAACACAACAAGAACCAGGCCUGUCACCAAUUCAACAAUGUCACCGACCCCCACACCUUCCUCCACAACAAUGUCACCUACCACUGCAAAGAUGUCCACUGAGGGACCUCUAGAGACUCCCUCACCAGGGACAACAGCUGGCAUGACGACCAGCGUGACAGAUGAGAUGCCAACAUCUGCUCCUGUCACCGAGAGCAGAGGGGACAACUGACAUGGGACUCAUCGGGAGACCAAUCAGAGAUCAGGGUUAAACGACAAACUGAAUAUGAAGAUGUCGUUUUCCUCGACAGCCUGAUUGUGUCAUGUUCUGCCCUACAUGUCCCAUAUAAUUGAUUAAACUUGUAUUCAACUGAAGUGGUCCCACAGAUACUGAAGGGCCAUGGCUGUUGUAACUGUAUUGAUUGCACUGAGGAAGGUAAAGGUGCUUCCUGUUAUGAAGUAUCUUAUCAGUGGGUUCUAUCUGAUGUGAUGUCGAGACCUGUUCUGAUCUUCAUGUUGACACAGGUUACUGGGAGAUGUGUGGUGUUGUCUGGUUUGGUUUCAAACCCCCGACCACAAGAGCUAACUGCUAGAGGGGACUACUGCAUCUGGGUGUUCUGUUUCCUCAUGCUGCCUGCUGUGUUGUGGAUGUGUUAUAGGUCUGUGUUCCUCUCAUCUCACCCCUGAACUACAGAUAAACACACCCGGGAAGUCUUCAGUGUCUACUCUUGUUUUUACAAUAAAGGAUUGAAAGAAGACUGUUUGUUAAUGCUGCAUUUGAAAGUAAAAAAGGCGAAUAAAAAACUAUUUGUUUUCAA